rnacentral:misc_RNA from 1 species
GAUGAAGAACGCAGCGAAAUGCGAUAAGUAAUGUGAAUUGCAGAAUUCAGUGAAUCAUCGAAUCUUUGAACGCACCUUGCGCUUCUUGGCAUUCCGAGGAGCAUGCCUGUUUGAGUGUCAUUAAAUCCUCAACCCCAUCUUCCUUGUGAAGUGGUCAGUUGGACUUUGGGAGCUGCUGGCUUGGUGUCAGCUCUUCUGAAAUAAAUUAGCAGGGAACCUUAUGUGCUGGACUGCAGCUUGGUAUUGAUAGUUGUCUUACCAGGUGACAGUCAGGCAUUUACUCUGCUCACAGCCGUCUCUAGCUUGAGACAAGUGACUUGACGAUUGACCUCAAAUCAGGUAGGACUACCCGCUGAACUUAAGCAUAUCAAUAAGCGGAGGA